rnacentral:misc_RNA from 1 species
UAAUUUCAUAAUUAGAAGCCUAAGAAUUUCAAUUUGUUUUGCGAUUAAAAUUCAAUUUUGUUGAUGGUUUUGUGUGGAAAAUUAAGAGGGGGAAGAAAGAGACGUCGGAGAUAACGACGUCCUUUUUAUUUAAAAAAAUUUUCUCUCUUUUUUUUUUUUGUGGGGAGGGUUUUUGGGGGUUUCAAGAUGUGUGCGGCAGCGGCGACGGGUGACUGGUGGGCGAGGGGGAUAGCGGGACAGAUCGGAGGAGGGUUCAGCCACGAGAGCGAGCAUGACUUGGCUCUCAUGGUCAGCGACUUCCUUGAGAACGGCUGCAGCAGCGGUGCCGAUUCUUGGUGCAGCAGCGAUAGCGAGUCUGGUCUUUCCGAUCUCCAUCAUCUCGCCGAUAAGAUUUCGUUCUAUAGACGCUCAGUAGCU